rnacentral:rRNA from 1 species
AGCGAACGCUGGCGGCAGGCUUAACACAUGCAAGUCGAGCGGGCAUCCUUGUGGUGUCCGCGGCAGACGGGUGAGUAACGCGUGGGAACGUGCCCUUCGGUUCGGAAUAACUCAGGGAAACUUGAGCUAAUACCGGAUACGUGCGAGAGCAGAAAGGUUUAUCUGCCGAAGGAUCGGCCCGCGUCUGAUUAGCUAGUUGGUUAGGUUAUGGCUCACCAAGGCGACGAUCAGUAGCUGGUCUGAGAGGAUGAUCAGCCACACUGGGACUGAGACACGGCCCAGACUCCUACGGGAGGCAGCAGUGGGGAAUAUUGGACAAUGGGGGCAACCCUGAUCCAGCCAUGCCGCGUGAGUGAUGACGGCCUUAGGGUUGUAAAGCUCUUUUCUUCGGGACGAUAAUGACGGUACCGGAGGAAUAAGCCCCGGCUAACUUCGUG